GCGGGAAAACUCACCCGGCCCGGACACUGUAAGGAUUGACAGAUUGAUAGCUCUUUCUUGAUUCAGUGGGUGGUGGUGCAUGGCCGUUCUUAGUUGGUGGAGCGAUUUGUCUGGUUAAUUCCGAUAACGAACGAGACUCUAGCCUGCUAAAUAGUCUGCAGAUCGCACAGUCUGCAGUACUUCUUAGAGGGACAAGCGGCAUUUAGCCGCACGAAAAUGAGCAAUAA
rnacentral:rRNA from 1 species